UAGCAGAAGCUCUGAAGCUCCCCAGAUAAUGAUCGGCCCCGCAGACACCCGCGUCAAACCCUAUCCAUAGAGUUGGAAGGAGGAGGAGGGUCAGGCUCCCCAGAAUCCUGAACCCAGCAGGUGACAGACACCCAAAGUCCAGUCCAGCACCCUUCUCCAAGGGCUCUGUCCCCACUUCCAAGGCUACCAAGACUGGCCCCUGACGAGCCCAUGGGCCACCAAACCAUGUCCGGUCUCUUCGAGGUUUGCACCUUCUCAGUUUCCCCGACUUGCCCUCCUGUCCCCACCUUCCCAUUCCCCAGACAUACUCUGAUCCCAUCCCCACUCUGCCUCCUCCAUGAAGUCACCCCUGGCUGCCUCGCCUUCUUUGUGUUUCUUUUCUGGGUUCUUUAUCAUCUGCAUCCUUAUUUCGGCAUUUGGGGCUGUUCUGUUUCAUCCGCUGGCUUUUUAAUUCCUAUGGGCUGAAGGGUAUGUUUUACAUGCCCACAGAGUGGUGGUGGUGAGAGCAAAGAACUACAGCAGACCGAAGGUGCGUUCCGGUCCCACCCGCUACUGUGUGACCUUGGGCAAGGAACUUCUCUGUGCCUCGUUGAUAAAGAGGCUACUCAUGCCCACUUGAGAGGUUCCUGGAAGAAUUAAAUAGAACGCUCUUUGCAAAGAACCCAGCCUGGUGUCUUGUGCUCAGUAGGGACUCCACACAUGCCAGCUAUUACUCCAGUAUGACAAAUCUCCAUAUCUGACAUUGCACCAGGCAUUCAGUAGGAGCCCAACUCAGAUCAUCACUGCAGGACUCCAAAAGCACAAGGCUGAUCUCUCAUUUCCUUAGAGCCUGAGCCAGCAAAGAGACAACAGGUCAAGUUCACAGACAUCCCCAAAGUAAAAGCAGUCUCUGGGGAACCCUCUCCUUCAAAGACAGAUUCCAUGUGACCUGUUGCAGUGACUGAGGCUCUAUCGAAGACUGGUGUGGUCACCAUGACCCCUCCCUUAUUGACCUUCAGGCCUCCAGGUCCUGGGCUCAACCAUUUUAUAUACAUAUGUCUCCUGUCAUCGUCACAAAAACCUCAUUCUACAGGUGAGGAGACUGAGGAUUGGCAAGGUUAAGAAACUUGCUCAAGGUCACACAGCUGGUGAGUAGCAGAACCAAGAUGUCCACUCAGUUUGACCUCUACCAGUCCAUGCUCCUGCCUCUGGGCCACUCCCUUUUGAAGUGAGGCAGUCACUGGCUUAGAAUCUGGGCCAAGUGAUAGACCCUCCUGCUGGAACCUCAGUCUCAUCCCUUCCUAGACAGAGGGAGGAACGGCCACCCUCCCACUGCCCAGGUGAGGGCUUUUGGAUGGGGGCAGGAAGAGAGUAAAGGGUAAAAAAAAAAAAAAAAAAAAAACUCAUUUAUGGCUAACCAGAUUUCUGUCUUGCAGCAAUUUAUAUCUAUUUCCCCUAAUUUAGGCAACUCUGAAUAUGAGAAAAGCAUUCAGCCAUUUGAAGAAUGCUAUUCAACUCAUGACAAAGAACAAUUCUUUUGAAUCUGUGAGAAUUUUCUGGAAGUCACAUGUCAUUUUCACUUUCACCUAUUAAAAUUGAAGCUUACAUUCAGCUUUUUAAAAAACUCCUCAGUUUGCAGAGGCAGCCAGCAGCCAGUGGCGCAGGCCGGGUCUCGGGCCCUUGCCAGAGGUCGUCACUCUCUGGAAGCACCAACCAGCUCAGCAGACCACAGCCUUGGGCUCAGACAUGAACUGACCUUGAAAGAAAGAAAGACCUGCACAAAGAUCAUAAUGAACCAACAGAAAAUAUUCAACAUCCGUCAUUAUCUCCACUUACGUGGGGCUUGGGAGCGGGAUGUGGCACAUUCCAAGAGCUGCUUUAGGGAAAACCAAGCCACGAGGAGAUGGCGUUCCUGGGCUGGACGGGAGCCUGAGGCCUGGAUGGGGCCUGCUUUCCGCACAUCUGCUUCCCUCAUAAGGGAUCCCUGACUCCCAGGCUAGGGGCCAGAGCAAGGACUUACCUGGAAGAGACAUCUGCUAAGCAAUUCGACCAAAUGCAAAUGCUGCUAGUUUAAUGAUCAUAAUUUCCUACAGCAGGUUCCCCCAGCACCUCCGCUAUCGUGUUAGUGGAAUCAUUUUUCAAUUUACUAGGUACAGAGGAGACCCAGUGCACAGGGCCAGGCCAAGGGUGUGUGUGCAUGUGCGUGUGCGUGUGCGUGCGUGUGUGUGUGUGUGUGUGUGUGUGUGUGUGUGUGAAAAAUGCCUGCAUUUUUCAGGAGUGAGGAUAUUUGCAUAACACAGAUAUCUUUGCAGAUACCAGACAAACAGGAAGUUUCAGAACUGAUGCCAUUUCCUUUCACUGUGAAUCAGCAGCCUCUCUCUUCUCACACACAAAUGAUGAAAAUCACAGGGUCCAGCCCUGGAACGUGAAGUGCGAGAGAAGAGCACAAAAGCAUCAGAAGUCACCUUCUCUGGUGGGGUGCUUCCCUGGGCGCCCACCUGCACUCUUCAGGCCAUCCCCUUCCAGCUACCCAGCUUCCUGGAGCGCUUCAAGAUAUGUUUGGGUGCCCACCCUAAACACAUUAGCAAAACAGUCUUCACACAACCUAUGUUAUACCAGUGCUUGGGAUGGGGCCCAACCGGCUCUAGGGGGACCUCCCUCGUCCUUGUUCCCGGCCCCAGGACUGUAUUCCAGAGGAGCUCUGUGAAGUAACACGCCCUGGAUGUGGCACCAGAAAACCUGGGCUCAGAUCCCUGCUCCAACCAGAGAGGCCCUGGGCAAGCCACUUUCCCCUACGAGCCUCAGUUUUCCUAUCAGUUACAUGGGACUGAUAGUGGCUCCCUGCACGUUUGGGGCUAAUAAUAAUACAAGCGCAAGGCAAGAAAUAUAAGGCGGCAAAUAAAAGCACAGGAUUUGGAGUCGGAUAUCUGAGUUCAAAACCCAGCUCCAGUGUGUACUUGGCCGUGAUGCUUGGGGCAAAUUGCCUAACUUUGCCAAAUGUUAAUUUGCCCAGUUAUAAAAUGGAGGUAACGACAGUCUGUUGAGAGGAUUCAGAGAUAUGACCACCUUGCACGGAGCAGAGUCUGGCUCACAGGAAAUUCUCAACAACAUGAACCAGUUUUCCUGCUGCCCGGCCCCCCCCUCCCCUCCCCCCCGUAGCACUCCUCCCUCCUCCAGCGCCUCCAGGUGCUGUAAGAUCCCGGAGGUGGAGACCACUGCAUGCCUCGCUGGUGAGGGUUCAGCACCUGGCUUAGCCCGUAAUAAAUCAGCUGAAUGAAUGAAUGGAUGCUCCUGGUGCGUAGCAGGUGCUGAGGAAAUCUAUCUGUAUAAAAUAAAUUUAUAUGAAAGCCACAGACCAACUCCCGCCCUCUCCGUUUUUGAAAUUCCUAAAAGGGGGGCAGUAGAGAACAGUGAUGACAAACAUCCGGGGCUUAGUCAGCAGUCAGGUCUGGCGUGUCCUUUAAUUUUCCGCACUGAACCUAAUAAGCAGGUAGAGGAAUGUGUCAGGUAAGUCCCAGCUUCACGACCCGGGAAGAUGAUUCUAAAACUUGACUUUCUUUUCAAGAUUACAGGCCUUGCGUCUGGUAUCCCUCUUGCCCCAUUUCUCUUGGUUUCCUCCUUAGGUCUAAUGGCCUUUUCUUCUCGAAGAGCUGGUGCCUCUGAAGUCCAGCCAGCUCCCCGUCCCCAGCCUCUUGGAGGACAGCGAGCCACACCCCACUGACUUACCAGCCUGCAGGGGUGCAGGCGUGCGACAGGCUGGUGUCUGCAGGAGGACAGCACGCUCACGCCAACAUUUGCUCCGGGGCACGGCCGUUCAGCUCUCGCCUCGUGCCCUCUGUGCCAGGAUAGUGCUCACUGGCCACUCCUCCGAGAGUGAGUCCAGGAUGCCGCGGACGCACAGCCUGAGUGCCCAGGUCUGGAGUCAGACAACCUGGCUUUGCACGCAGACUCUGCAUGGACAAGCCGUCUGAUCUGCUACCUCUCUCAACCUCAGUUUCCUAAUCUGUGCAACGGAGACCAGUGCUAGAGCACUGGGCGAUGCAACACUUAAUAGCUAGCUUGGCGCCAACCUAUGAAGUGAACCCCAGCCAGUACCAGGUUAUACCUGCUAAAUAUUAGCUCUGCUCAUUUCUACUGCAGAGGUGGGUAUGGCUCCAGGCACACUGUAAACACUCUAAGCACUAGCCACUACUUUGACUACUUUUAAGUUUUGCUCGUGUCACGUAGUUCCCAGUGGAGGGACGUUCGGAGGAGGGAUGGCCCUGGAGAGGCCCGGUCUUUGCCAUCUCCCAGGUUGACUAAGGCCCUCCUGCCUUCCAUUGCUCGCCAGAACCUUACGGGACUGCUGGGGAUGGGACAGAACCUUGGGAUGUUGUCUGCCUAAUGUGAGUCAUGGUGCCUCCCCGUGGUGCCCAUGGCAGGAGUUCUUUUCCCCAUGAACACUCUUUGCGAAUCUUUAUUACAGCAACAAAAGAGCCAGAUAGCUGGUGGUCCAGUCCCGGGAUGAGCACUGCAUGUCGUAUGUAAGCCAAUCUGACAAUAAAUUAUAUUCAUAAAAAAAUAGUUAUGGUAUAAGCCAAGCCAGUGUGUGGCUAACCUAUCACACGCUGGGGUCCCUCGCACUGUCUUGGAAGGAAAAAAUCCAGAGACGUGCCACUACAUAGGAUCUGUGUCAGAGGCCAGAGGCCCUUUUCCUCAUGUUUUGGACCAGUUUUUAAAAAGGAGUUCCCAGGACAUUAGGAGCAUGGAGGCAGCCCUCCCCAGCAGCAGGAGUUGAAGCUCAGGCAUCCCCAGGUCUGCUUCCUGUGCCCCAAUAAUACAAAGGGAGAAACAUCAAGGACACUGGGCCCAGCUGGCCAGAGUCUAGAGGUCAUGUCUGUCCCCAGGGAGAGCCCGCUGGAGUCCAUGUCUGCUAAGGGCCAGGAUAGCCGCUCACUCAACGCUGGAGGCCUGUGACCCCCUUCCUGGGCUCUGAUGGCCUGCUGGGCCCCCGUUGUGAGGAGUAAAAGUGGCCAUCGAUGUCCUGCAGACCCGGCAGUCCCACCAUGGAAUGGGCUGCUUGUCUAUGAGGUCCUCUCCUGUCAGCUCAUAAAAAAUGGUCCUGCUGGAGGAGCGUGGAAGCUGGCCAGGGAGGGAGCUGACUGCACCUCAGAGCAGCGACUCUAGAAAUGUCGCCUAGGUGAUGGUUGCCCAUCAAAGCCAGAUAACAAUGCAAACCCAAAUGGGAUUUUCUGGUAACUGUUUUAUCAGCAGACUUUUUUUUUUUUUUUUUUUUUUUU